CAACCACUAUUCAAGUUAAUCUUAUGAAAAUUAUUGAUAAGAUGAUUAUAGAACUGUGGAAUAUAAACGCGAAGCGAAUUAUAAAAGCAGAGUGUUACUUUCCAAAAAUGUUUUUUUAAUGAAAUUUUUGGUCUUAGACACUCAGACAAC
ensembl:snoRNA C03B8.5 ncRNA